rnacentral:rRNA from 1 species
AGCAGCCGCGGUAAUUCCAGCUCCAAUAGCGUAUAUUAAAGUUGUUGCAGUUAAAAAGCUCGUAGUUGAAUUUCGGGGUUAGCAAGUUGGUCGUGCCACUGGUAUGCACUGGCUUUGCUGAUUCCUCCUUCUUGAAGAACUGUAAUGCUAUUAAUUUAGUGUUGCAGGGAAACAGGACUGUUACUUUGAAAAAUUAGAGUGUUUAAAGCAGGCUAACGCUUGAAUACAUUAGCAUGGAAUAAUGAAAUAGGACGUUUGAUCCUAUUUUGUUGGUUUCUAGGAUUGACGUAAUGAUUAAUAGGGAUAGUUGGGGGCAUUAGUAUUCAAUUGUCAGAGGUGAAAUUCUUGGAUUUAUUGAAGACUAACUACUGCGAAAGCAUUUGUCAAGGAUGUUUUCAUUAAUCAAAGAA